UUCAACAUGAAGUUUGGGGAAGUCAAAUAUCUAAACCAUAGCCAUGAGGAUGUAAAAACAGGCAGGAACCAUAUUAUCUGAAUCCUGUAGAUUUUUACAUUUAUCCACAGAGCAAUGGAAAGAUAUUAAGGGCCUAUAACAUGGUUUUUUUGUUGCUGUUUUUACAAUCUGGUGAAAGUGUGAGUACUGGAAUGGAGAAAGUCAAGAUUAGAAACAGGAAAACCAGUUUAGAGGCUAUUUGUCUAAGUCUAGGCAAUUUAUCAUGGUAGCUUCAAGUAGUAGCAAUACAGUUUGAGAGACAUGAACACAUUCAAGACAUAUUUUGCACAUUUGGGAAGUAGAAUUGGCAAGAUUUGAUAAUAAAGUGGAUGUGAGGAGUAAGGUAGAAGGAUUAAGGAUGUCUCCCAGGUUUCUGAAAGGGCAACUCAGUGAUUAAAAAAUCAUUUGCUGGUAUAGUGUGGAUGUUGUCCCCACCUAAAUGUCAUGUUGAAAUGUAAGUCCCAGUGUUGGAGAUGGGGUCUGGUGGGAGGUGAUUGGAUCACGAGGGUGAAUUUUUCAUGAAUGGUUUAGCACUAUCCACUUGGUACUGUCCCUUCACAGUAGUGAGUGAGUUCUCAUUAGAUCUGGUCAUUUUUAAGUGUGUGACACCUCCCCUCUAUCUUGUUUCUGCUUUCACCAUGUGACAUGCCUGCUCCCCCUUUGCCUUCUGUCAAGAUUGUAAGCUUCCUGAAGCCUCCCCAGGAGCCCAGCAAGCAUCCGCAGCAUGCUUCCUGUAAAGCCUGCAGAAUCCAUGAAAUUGAUGACCUGCAAACUCCAGGGGAGGACCCUGACCAACUUAGAUCAGAGGUUACUAAGGAGAUAGGAAUAGUCAAGACAUCUGGAGACAGCUAGGAACAAAGAAGGUUGUGCACUAUAAGUGUCAGCCAUACUGCAGGUGCCACUGUGGUCCCCAGUGGUGUGCUCUACAGAGGAUCCCGGGAGACUUCACAGCUGAGGACAUCAACAACCAUCACAGCCACUGAGACUCACUAUGUUCACCAUCAAAGACCUCACAAUGUGAGCUGUCAAGGACCCCAGAAGUGUGCUCCACAGAGAAGCCAAUAGUUCUCACCACUGAGAAACCCAACAGCCAGCACAGCUGCCACAGACCCCUACAUCUUUUGCCACAAAGGAUCCUGCAGUUUUUCGCCUCUGCAGAGCCCCGCUACCUGAGCUGCUGUCCCCACUCCUCUACCAGGGCCACCCCAGUCAGCACACUACAAGUGUCCUAGCCUUGGACAGAGUACAGCCACCCCAUAUGCUCCACAACCAACCCCAGUCCCAUCAGUAGUCUCAUCUAUACCACCAUGUACAUAUCUACUGUCAACCCGAACCACCAGUCCUCAUUGCCUUGCGCACACACACACACUGUGAGUCCAGGACCCACAGCCAAGCAUACAUAUGACCAGCUCUGACCAAUAUUGCCAACCCUCACUUUUAUAUGCGCAUACACCACAGCCACAGUCCUCGCAAGAGCUUAUGCACAUGCAGACAGCCCUGAUGCCAGCUGCUGGUCCCACCAUAGCAUAUACAUCUGCAGCAGACCCCUGCAACCACAAUCACAGGGCAUCAGCUCCAACCUCUGUAGCCUUGUGCACUCACCACUGAUUUUGCCACUGUAACCAUGCCAACAAUCAGCCCUAACCCCUCUGACUGAUCCCAGCCCUUGACACUGGGUGCAUACUACAGCUAGUUCCCAUCACUGUGCACACACUGCACAUACCAGUGCCUACUGCCACAUACUUGCCCACUGCUGCCCCUGGUUUUCACCAACAUGCAUGUUCAUCACUGACCCUCACUUGCUGCGACCUGCCUCAGCCCCGGUCUAAGUAUACCCACAACUAGAAUUGGAGGCACUGCUGAGGACUCCAACAGCUCUCAAAGCCACUAUAGACCUAGUACAGUGGGUCUCUUGCCACUGAGGACCACGAAGUUGCUAAUGCCACUGACACUAACGGCCUGAGCCCCCUAGCCACCAUGCCUUCCUAAACGUAGAAUCACUGCACAUUCCCACACUUGGCACUCCAUGCCAUCAGACUUGCUACCAUAGUAUGCUCCAUCAUACACCCCAUAGUCACCACCCCACAUCUCCUUCCUACCUCUACCUUCCUAUAAGUGAAGGUCUUUCCUUACCAAAGCUAGUCCAUAAAAUCUGGAAGAAGUAAUUACUUAUUCAAAUGUACAGACACCUACGCAGAGCUACAAGAAUCAUGAAGAAUCAGGAAAACAUGAUAACAUGAAAGGAACACCAUGAAUUUCCAGUAGGUACACGAAAAAUAACAUAAAAUGAAUCAAACCAAACCACCAAAAAUGUCAUCAAAUACCAAAACAACAAAAUAGGAAAAAAAAAAUAAAAAGAACUGCAAGACAAAAAGGAAACAAUGAACAAAAUGGCAACAGCAAGUCCUUACAUAUCAAUGAUCAUUUUAAAUGUAAAUGAAUAAACUCCCAAUCAAAAUGAAUAAAAAUACAAUAUCCAGCAAUAUACAAUCUACAUGAAACUAAUGUUAGAUAUAAGGACAUACAGAGACUAAAAGUAAAUGGCUGGGAAAAGGUAGUCCACGCAAAUUGUAAGAAAAAGAGAUGUGAGUGGCUAUACAUGUAUCAAACAACGUAGUCUUUUAGUCAAAAAAUGUCACAAGACAAAGAAGGUUGUUAUGUAAUUAUAAAAAACAAUUCAACAGGAAGACACAACAAUUAUAAAUAUAUGGGCAUUCAGCAUUAGAGCACAUAAAUAUAUUAAAUAAACAUGCACAGAGCCAAAGGGAGAAAUUGACAAUAAUACAAUAAUAAUAGGAAACUUCAAUACUCUCACUUUCAAUAAUGGAUAAAACAUCUAGGCAGAAUUCCAAUAAGGAAACAGCUAAUUUAAACAAAACUAUACACCAAAGAGACCUAACAGAUAUACACAGACCUUCUUCCCCAACAGCAGCAGAAUACAAAUUAUUCUCAAGCACACAUAGGACAUUAACCUAAAUAGGUCAUAUGUUAGAUCACAAAACAAGUCAACAAGUUUUAAAAGAUUUAAACCAUAUCAGGUGUCUUCUCAGAUCACAGUGGAAUGAAAUUAGAAAUAACAAAAACAAAACUAGAAAAUUCUCAAACACGUGGAAAUUAAACCACAGCUUUUGAACAACCACUGGGCAAAAUAGAAAAUCAAAUGGGGAAUUUUUUAAAUAUCUUGAGACAAAAAUGAAAACACAAUUUAUUUAAACUUAUGAAAUUCAGCAAAAGCCAUAUACUAAGAGGGAAGUUCAUUGUGUUAAAUGCCUACAUCAAAAAUGAAAUAUCUUAACUAAACAACCUAACUUUAUAACUCAAGGAACAAACUAAACACAAAGGCAACAGGAGGAAGAAAAUAAUAAUGAUCAGAGCAGAAAGAAAGAAAAUAUAAGAGAGAGAAACAAUAGAAAAAAUAAUAUUACAGAGUUGGUUUUUUUAAAGAUAAAAUUAACAAACUUUUAGCUAAACUAAGAAAAAAGGAAAGAAAACUCAAAUUAUAAAACACAGAAAUGAAAAAGGAGGCUUUACAAUUAAUGCCACAGAAAUAAAAAUGAUAUUAAACAACUAUGAUGAAUAAUUAUACACCAACAAAUUUGACAAUCUAAAAGAAAUAAGCAAUAGAAAUAUAAAACCUACUAAUGCUGAACUAAGAACUAAUAGAAAGGCUGAGUAGACCAAUAACAAACAAGAAGAUUGAAUCAGUAAUAAAAAACCUUCCAACAAGGAAAAGCUGAGGACGAGAAGGCUUCAUGAGUGAAUUCUACCAAAUAUUCAAAGAACUAAUACAAACCCUUCUUAAACUCUUGCAAAAAAAUAGAAGAGAUAAUACUCUCAAGCUCAUUUUAUGAGGCUAACAACACAAUUCUAAAGCCAGAAAAAAUCAACACCAAAAAAGAAAACUGGAGGCCAACAUUCUCAACGGCCAUAAAUGUGAAAAUCUUCAAUGAAAUAUUAGCAAAAGAAUUAAAAUAAUCAUAUAUCAUGACUAAGCAGAUUUUAUCCCUGACAUACAAGGACAGUUCAACAUGUAAGAACCGAUCAAUGUGAUAUACUAAAUUAACAGAAGAAUAAACUACAUAAUCUCAGUAGAUGCAAGAAAAAAUAUUGGACCAAAUUCAACAUUAAGAUAAAAACUAUCAACAAAACAGAUAUGAAAGAAACUUUCCUCAGCACAAUAAAUGACAUAUAUGAAAGAGGCACAGCUAACAUAAUAAUCAACGGGGAAAAUCUGAAAGCUUUUUCUCUAAGAUCUGUAAGAAGGCAAGAAUGCCAACUCUCACCACAGCUAUUCAGCAUAGUACUGGAAGUCCUAGCCAGAGCAAUCAGGCAAGAAGAAGAAGAAAAAAUAAGUAUCCAAAUCGAAAGGGAAAAAGAAAAAUCAUCUUUUUCUGCAGAUGAUAUGAUCAUAUACCUGGAAAUCCCUAGACUCUACACAAAACACUAUUAUAACUAACUUAAAAAGUCAAUAAAAUUACAGGAUACAAAGUUAACAUACAAAAAUCAGUGGUGUUUCUAUACACUAAAAACAAACUUUCCAAAAGGAAAACCAAGAAACAAGCUCAUUUAAAUUAGCAACAAUAACAACAAGGAAAUACUUAGAAAUUAAGAAAUAAAAGACCUGUACCCUGAAAACUGUAAAACAUUACCAAAAGAAAUUUUUCAAAAGACACAAAUAGAAAGACGUUCCGUGUUCAUGGAUUGGAAAAAUUAAAAUUGUUAAAAUGUUCACACUACCCAAAGCAAUCUACAGAUUCAAUGCCAUCCUUAUCAAAAUCCCAAUGGCAAUUUAUACAGAAAUAGAAAAAACAAUUCUAAAAUUCGCAUGGAACUACAAAAGACCCUGAAUAGCCAAAGCAAUUUUAAGAAGAAUAAAGCUAGAAGCAUCACACUGCUUGACUUCAAAUCAUAUUACAAAGCUAUAGUAAUCAAAACAGUACAGUAUUGUCAUAAAAACAAACAUCUAAAUCAGUGGAAAAGACUAGAGAGCCCAGAAAUAAGCCCAUACAUUUAUGGUCAAUGUAUCUUCUACUAGGGUGCCAAGAACACAUAAUGGGUAUAGUUUAUUAAGAAAGAAAAAAUUGGUGUUUGGAAAACUGGUUAUCCACAUGCAAAAAAAAAAAAUUAAAUUGAACCCCUAUCACGCACGUACAAAAACCAAUCUAUAAUGAAUUAGAGACUUAAACAACAUGCAACUGUAAAACUCCUAGAAGAAAACAUAGGGAAAAAGCUUUUUGACAGUGGUCUUGGCAAUAUGUUUUUGGAUAUGGCAACAAAAGCAAAAAUAGAUAUCCAGUAUUACAUGAAAUUAAAAAGUUCUGCACAGCAAAGGAAGCAAUCACCUAAAUCAAAAGGCAACUGAUGGAAUUGGAAAAAGCAUUUGCAAACCAUUCACCUAAUAAGAAGUUAAUACCCAAAAUAUAUAAAGAACUUAUACAACUCAGUACCAAAAGUAUAAAUAACUGAAUUAAAAAUUCGGCAAAGUACUUAAAUAAACACGUAUCAAAAGAAGAAAUUCAGAUGGUGAACAGGCAUAUGAAAAAGUACUCAACAUCUCUAAUCAUCAGGGAAAUGCAAAUCAAACCACCAUAAAAUAUCACCUUACACCUUUAGGAUGACUAUUAUUAAAAAGACAAAAGAUAACAAACGUUGAUGAGGCUGUGGAGAAAAGAGAAUGUUUUUCCCCUGUCUUUUCAAAGGGACUUUCUCAUAGAAACAGUUCAUGAUUACUAACGCCCCCUCUUUGCGUCUCAACACAGCAAUCAGGUUCCCACCCUGCCAUGCUACUGAAGCUGUUCUGGCAGAGGUCACAUCCAGUCUAAUUGCCAAAUCCAGUCAAUAGUUCUUAGUUCUUGUUUCGGUUCUUAAUUGUGCAGCAUUUGACAAUAAAUUAUCCAUUCCGAAAAGUCUUUCAAUUCUUGUCUUACAUGACCUCAUUCUCUAGAUUCUUAUUUAGCUUCCUGGCCAUACUUUUUCAGUCUUACUUGCUGUGUCCUCCACCUCCCUCUUCCUGAGUUACUGUUAAGUGAAUUGCAGUUCAAAAACAGGAUGCACAUUAUGGCACUAUUUAUGAUGUAUUAUGUAUACAUAAAUAUGUUACUGGAUAGAGUUGUCCAGGUUCUUGCCCUGUUGAACAAAGAAUUGAACAAAAUGCAGAAACAAAGUGACAAAAGAACAGAGCAAGGAAAGACAAAGCAACCGGAGAAUGCAGCAAGGAAAGCACAGAUUUAUUGACAACAAUUCACAGAGUGGGAGCCGGCUGUAGCAAGCAGAUCAAGAGCCUCUCCAAUUAGGGUUUUUAUAAAGCCAAAAUAACUUGGCAACACCCCUAGGUGCCCUUUAGUGGCCUCCAGUUGGUUAUACCCUAUGAAAGAUGGGCCUGCAACCCAACAGAGGCUGAAAUGGAAACUUCUGUCUUGUAAUCACAGGAGUGAAGACGUGGCCUGUAUGCUGCCUAAUCUUGCCUAGAACUGGCUGCACCUGCUAUUCCUUUGCUUAGAACUGGCUGCACCUGCUAUUCCUUUGCCUAGAACUGGCUGCACCUGCUAUUCCUUUGCCUAGAACGGGCUGCACCUGCUAUUCUUUGCUUACUUAUGCCUCAACCCUUGUCUAUCCUAAUUCCCUAUUUUUCUGCCUCAGAUAUAUUAUACAUAGAUAUUUAGAGUGUACACAUAAAAGUUGUGUUUAUGUGUAAGAUAAGUGUGAGAUAUCAAUAUGUAUAUUAUAUAUGUGUAUGUGUAUAUAUGAUACAUGUGUGUCAAAAUGUUAGGCAAUGGAAAUAAUCUGUGUGAACUUCACUUUAAUCAUUUCUGUAGCUCUUGAAUAUGUUUGUAAUUAUUAUUUAUAACUCUAAGAAUCAAUGUUAUUACUCCGUUUUCAGACUGCUGUAAAGAAAUACCCGAGACUGGGUAAUUUAUGAAGAAAAGAGAUGUAAUUAACUCACAGUUCUGCAGGCAAAACAGGAAGCAUGACUGGGAGGCCUCAGGAAAAAUAUUCGUGGUGGAAAGCGAAGGGGAAAUAAGCACUUCUUUACCAUGGCAGGACAGGAAAGAGACCGGGAGAUGGAGGAAGUGCUACACGCUUUCAAACAACCAGAUCUCGUGAGAACUCACUAACUCUCACAAGUACAGCAAGAGAGAAGUCCGCCACAUGAUUGAAUCACCUCCCAUCAGGCCCCUCCCCCAACACGUGGUAAUUAUAAUUCCAGAUGAGAUUUGGGUGGGAACAUAAGAGCCAAACCAUAUAAGUCAAUAAUAAAUUACCCACUAAUGCUUAUAGCUCUUUAAUUGUACUUAUAUGCUGAUGAUUUCUAAACUGCCCUCUCAAGCCCAGGUAUUUUCCCUGAGUUCCAGACCUGGAUGAUCCAUAGUCGAAUUUACCCUUAAGCCUUAUCGUUUUGUGCCUUCACAGUCCCCAAACCAUUCUCUAGGUAAUUGCUUUCUUGCAGCUAUAUCUUUACAACUUUAUAAUAUUCAAAAUGGAAAGCUUCGUGAAUUAUUUGUGUUUCUAUUGCUAGUGCCCAUGAUACAUACAUAGUGCCUUGUAAAGAGAACAUGGUUACUGAUACUGGUUGAGUGAAUAAACUAAGUGGAUUAUU
rnacentral:lncRNA from 1 species